rnacentral:lncRNA from 1 species
UGGGGGGCUCUGGGGGUGCCAGGGACCAGGGGUCCCGGAGAAUUUCAGGGAUGAGGGGUCUGGGGGGGGGGUGCCUGGGGGCUGAUGGCCUCUCCCCGCAGUGCUCCUCGCUGAUGCUGAUCGAGAGCACGCGGGACUCGCUCUGCUUCAGCCUGGCCCACUACAAGCACGGCAAGCAGCAGCACAACCUGCAGGUAGGGGGGACACGGGGUGGGGGGGCACCCUAAGGACCCCCCCUGCCCAGCCUCACCACCCUCCCUGUGUCCCCCCUCACUCCCAACCCCAGGCCAAGAGCGUGGAGGAGAAGCGCGUGUGGACCCACCACAUCAAGCGGCUGAUCCUGGAGAACCACCACGCCAUCAUCCCCCAAAAGGCCAAGGAAGCCAUCCUGGAGAUGGACUUGUUCUACCCCCCUCGCCUGCCCCACUGCAGCCCCGAGCGCCUGAAGAAGAGCUGGUCCUGCCAACCCCUGGGUGACAACGCCGCCGAGCCACGCCAGUGCCGCCGGCAGUCCGGUGAGUGCCACGCCAUCCCCGGCGUCCCCGUCACCGCCACCACCCUCCCUUCCCCGGGCGAGAAGGGAGGGUGCCGGGUCACCCCGAUUCCCCUGGGGACGGUGGCGCUCACAGGGUGUCCCUGUCCCCACAGAGCCCUUCCAGCCCCGGGACCGCGCCGAGACGCUGCCGGACCGGCUGCACGGGCACACGGGGCGCAGGCAGUCGGGUGAGGAUGCUCGGCGGGGAGCGGGGGGACCCCAGAUUGGGGAGGAGGAGGAGGAGGAGGAGGAGGGAGGGGGGGGUGUUGGUGCUGGGGGAUGCUGGUGGGGUUGGGGGAGGUGGGGACGAUGCCACCGUCGCCCGAUUGGGAUGCCCGCCUUCUCCCCCCGCAGAGCCCGCCAAGCAGAUCCUGCGG